AUCACCUGGAGAUCUUGUUAAAAUGCAGACUCUGUUUCAGCAGGUCUGGGGUAGGGCCCAGAGUCUGCAUUUCUAGCAAGCUCCCAGGUGAUCCCUC
rnacentral:pre_miRNA from 1 species